rnacentral:SRP_RNA from 1 species
GCUGGGCGUGGUGGCGGGUGCCUGUAAUCCCAGCUACUUGGGAGGCUGAGUCAGGAGAAUUGCUUGAACCCAGGAGGCCGAGGUUGCAGUGAGCAGAGAUCACACCACUGCACUCCAGCCUGGGCAACAGAGUGAGACUCCGUCUCAG